CGCCCCGCGCCCCAAGUUUUGGGAGGGUUCCGCUCUCCCCACCCGGUACCAGGACCCACCCGGGCCCGCGCUCCCUGCGGCUUCCAGGGACCCUCCAGCCCCCACGCACCCUCCUGCAAAGCCGAGGGUUAAGCUGGGGAAAGGGGGCCUCUAGGAAGGCGACCCCCCUGGAAAUGCCUGGCAGCUCCAAAAACACUAAUGAAACUCAGCUCCAGCCUCCGCCCCUCCAGUUGUGGGUGGCCCCUCUUGCGGUUCGUCUGAGGCUAGGGGACUAGGCGCAUCGCCUAGCGAGACUCCAGUGGCCUUUUCUGUCCAGUUUGUAACCGGAACUAGACCGACCCCGGCCGCCCCCUCCAGUGCUGGGGCGGGUGAGGAAUGGCCCCGCCGGGGAGGCGGGGGAGGGAGGCCUGGGCCACCCUGGGGUCUGACCUUUGCUCCACCUCUUAGGUGCUCACGACCCAGAGUGGUGCCCUGCUUGGUACUGCCACUGGAUCCUCUGGCUUAUGAAGCCGUCCAGGACAGGAAGGGUGGGGGGUGGUCCUUAGUUCUCUUCGUGGGGUCAUGCAGAGUGGUUUCCUCGAGGUCCCACGCCCGUCUCAGGAAGCCAGAAACGCAAGAUGCCGGGCGCUCGGCCCGAACCCGUGCCGCGGCCCAAGGGGCAAGGCGGAUACCGAGGCAAGGCCUAAAGGGCCGGACUCUGACCGCACCCUCCGGACACUGCAGGGCUCCGCCGGCCAGAGGCGGCCUUGGCGCCAACCACACCUAGCAGCGGGGUCCCCGGGCCCACCGAUGCGCCCUCCUAGCCCCGCGCUCCUUCGAGGGGUUCCAAGGUGACUCAGAGACGCAGCUGACACAAUUCUGAGGCCCCCAGGACAUCAAGGGCUCCGGACAUUGUGAAAGUUUCCCUUUAAGUUACGAUGGGAAUCCAGAACAACGCCGUAUGGACCCCUCUGCAGGUAGCGUGGAAAGGACUUUUUUUUUUUUUUAAUAAGUAGAGAGUAUACUUAAAAGAUAAAAAGCACAGUAUAGUAAGUACAUAAACCAGUAACACACUUAUUAUCAAGUAUUAUGUAUUGCACAUAAUUGUGUUAUAUUUUUAUAUGACUGGCAGUGCAGUAGUUUAUUUAUACCAGCAUCACCACAAACACAUAAAUAAUGUGCUAUGACACUAGUGAUGGGAAUUUUUCAGCUCCAUUAUAAUCUUAUGGGACCAUUGUCACACAUGUCAUCUGUCAUUGACUGAAACAUCGUUACGCGGAGCAUGACUGUAGAUAUUCUCAUACACUGCUUGUGAAAGUAUACAUUGGUUGGGCUACUUUAGAGGGCUAUUUGCCAAUAUUUAUAUGCAUUCUGAGUUUGAGAGAUUCUGAGAACUAUGCUGGAGCCACUUCAUACCAGCUAACAGAGCUGAUUGUGCAUUCAUGUCUCAUUAGUAGUUUGAAAUCGGCCAUGGUGGAAGAAUUCACACCAUGGAAAUUGGCAAAUGCUACAAAUCAGCCCCACUUCCUCUUUUUGGAAGACUGGUUGUUAAACAUUUAUUAGUACUCUAAAGUCUAUUUGACAGUGUCUACAAUAAAAAAAAGAAAGAAAGAAAGAAAAAGCACAUAACCCAUGAUACAGUAUUCCUGUUUUCUAAGAUAUAUUUGUACAUGUAAACAGGGAUGCAUGUUCAAGGAUGUUCACAGCAGCAUUAUUUGCAAUGGAAAAUUGAAGACAACCUAAAAACCCACUCAUUGAUAGUGUAAACCAAAAAGCAUCUGAGACAGGUCUCAAUUGAUUAAGACGUUUACUUUGCCAAGGUUAAGGACCGUGGCCCAUGCUGCAGCCUCAGGAGGUCCUGAGAACAUGUGCCCAAGAUGGUGGGAUUGCGGCUUGGUUUUAGGGAGACAGAAGUUAUGGGCAAAGACAUAAAUCAAUACAUGGAAGGUAUACAUUGGUUUUGGCCUGGAAUAGGGGGACAUCUCAAAGUGGGAGUUGGGGGCUGUUUCUAGGUCACAGGUGGAUUGAGAGAUUUCCUGACUGGCAGUUGGUUCAAAGAGUUAAGCUCUGAGUGAAGAGUUGAAGUCAGCUUGAGUUAUGGUAAGGGGGGAAUGUUUUGGAAGCCAAGGUUUUUGUCAUGUAGGUGAAACCUCCAAAGAACAAGCUUCAGAGAUAAUAGAUGUGACAGUCUCUUAUCUGACCUAAAAGGUGUCAAACUCUGUGGAAAAACCUAGUAGAGGAAGGAGAUUCUCUAAAAAAAUGCAAAUUUCCCCCACAAGGGACAGCUUUGCAGGGCCAUUCAAAGUAUGUCGAAGAAAUAUAUUUUGGGGUAAAAUAUUCUGAUCUCCUUCCGGGCCUGCUGUCUGUCAUGAGAUGUUACAUCAGAGUCAGGUUGGAAUUUGAUCUUAUUGCUACAAAGAGUCUGUUUUGUCGGUCUUAAAAUCUCUGUUUUAAUGUUAAUGCUGGUCAGUUGGGUCUAAACUCCAAAAAGAGAAGGGUAUAUAAUGAGACCUUCCCCCUCUCUUCCUGUCAUGGCCUGAACUUCUAACCACCCCUCUUCCUGUCAUGGCCUGAACUUUUUCAGGUUUUUUUUGGGAUCCCCUUGGCUGAGGGGGUACAUUCAGUUGGUUGGGGAGAUUAGAAUUUUGUUUUUGGUUUAUAAUAGGAAACUCAAAAACAAAAACCUCCAGCCUAUUCUAAAUGGAACACUAUGCAGCAGUUAAAAUUAAUAAACUAAAUUUAUAUAAACUGUUGGGAGAAAAAACUUCUCUACCAAUUUAGGUCCAAUUGGUCGGUGGCCUGUGAAUCAACUGACAAUACACAGAUUAACAGGAGAAAAACGUACUACAUAUGCGAAGGUACCCUAAAGAGAGUAGCUCCCAGAAUAGCUGGGGGGGAAAAAAUCACACAGCCAUAAAAGAGAAUAAAAUCGUAUCCUUUGCAGCGACAUGGAUGCAGCUGGAGGCCAUUAUCCUAAGCAAAUUAAUGCAAGAACAGAAAACCAAAUACCACAUGUUACAAGUGGGAGCUAAACUGUGGAUUCUUAUAGACAUAAAGACGGCAAUAAUAGCUACUAGGGACUACUGGGGUUGAAAGACUAACUACUGGGUACUAUGUUCACUACCCGGGUGACAGAAUCAUUCAUAUGCCAAAUGUCAGCAUCACACAAUAUACCUAAAGUAUCAAACAUGCACAUGGACCCCUAAAUCUAUGAACACAAUUAAUGGCUAAACUUCUAGGUGCAAAACUAGGGAUGGCAUUUGGGCUGUAAAGAAUGGCACAGGCUGUGGUUACCCCAGUAACCACUUUCUUCCAGGACUCACUCAAGGCAAUAGGGACUUGCUUGGUCUUGCCCCUUCUGUUAUGGUUCCAGGGGUGGUUGCCCAAAGGUGAUGCAAGUUGAUUCUCCCAGGGAUGGGUCCCCAGUGAGAGCUCUCAAGCUAUUCAGGGACCUUCAGAGCCAAAUUCCCCUAGCAUUUUGUUCAACUCUUCCCCAUGUGUACAGGGACAAGGAAGGGUUUUGCAUUAUCCUUUCCCAUUUGUUGAAAUUACAUCUAUAAGAACUGAUGAAGAGAAGGGUCAGUUUUUUCCACCUGUCUCAGGGAACUGGGUGGGCCUGAUAACUCUCCCACUACAUGCUCCUGGCCCCAGAUUAUCUGGUUACUUAUUUUUAAACUUCCUGAUAUUAGGGGAAAAGAUUUUUCCCUAAAUUCCCUAUAAGUGAUAUUUGAAGCGGUGGUACGCCACCCAGCAAAUGGCUGUAUCCAGUUUUAAUGGUUCAUAAAGUAACUUAUGAAGUGACUUGUUUUCUUUCAAUUCAAAGGAAGUCUGGGGAAAGGCACCAUUCAUUCAUUCAAGAUGGGGUCUCAAUAUGUUGCCCAGGAUGGUCUUGAACUCCUGGGCUCAAGGAUCCUCCUGCCUCAGCCUCCUGAGUAGCUAGGAUUACAAAUGUGGCAGUUUGAAAGGCACUUUCUUGGUCUAUGUGGUCCGCCUGUACCCAGAUGAUUUGGAGCCUCACCUUUAGUCCCACCCUGGCCAGCCAAACCAGGGUCAGCCUGGGGCUCCAGGAAAAAAUGAAAUGUUACAUGGCCUUACUUGCCUUUUUCUGCUAUUCAUAGGCUGAUAUUGGUUGAUAGUAAAUAUAAACCCACUGGGCAAGUUCAUUUUUGCACAGAGUGACAACCGUCACUGAACUCUGUUUUAAGGGAGGGAUUUUGGUGGGUUUUUUUUUUUGAGACAAGGUCACCCAGGCUGGAGUGCAGUGGCAUGAUCUCGGCUCACUGCAGCCUUGACCUCCUGGGCUCGAUUGAUCUUCCCACCUCAGCUCCCCAAGUAGCUGGGACUACAGGCGUGCACCAUCACGCCUCGCUAAUUUUUUGUAGAGACAGGAUUUUGCCAUGUUGUCCAGACUGGUCUUGAACUCCUGAGCUCAAACAAUUCACCCACUUCAGCCUCCCAAAGUGCUGGAAUUACAGGCAUGGGAGGGAUUUUUUUUUUCUUUAAAUUGAGAUGAGGUCUCACCAUCAUGCCCAGGAUGGUCUUGAACUCCUGGGCUCAAGUAAUCCUCCCAUCUCAGCCUCCUGAGUAGCUGGAACUACAGCUGUGUGCACCACACCCAGCUAAUUGUUCAACAUUUUUGUAGAGACAGGGUCUUGCUAUGUUGCCCAGGCUGGUUUCUAACUCCGGGGCUCAAGUGGUCCUCCUGCUUCAGCCUCCCAAAGUGCUGGGUUACAAGUGUGAGCCACUGUGCUGGGCCAGAAUUUAUUUAUUUAUUAUUUUUAAAGAACCUUCAUUUCCUCUGGCAAUCUGCUUGGGGACAUGCACAUGAAUCUCAUGGGAGAACAAGAAAACGUUUCCUUUUUGUGUUCUCCACUUUCCCUUCCCUUUCCAGAAUCUAGGCCCUGGUGAUUCCCUUCAGGAGGCAGGAAAGCGAUUCCUUGAAGAACAACAGCCGUCACCUUCCUUCCCAGUUGAGCCAGAAAGGCCCCACAGCUCUGCCACAGAUGCUACAGAAAAUGUUUCUGGCCUCAACUCCCCAGGGAGGGAGUAAGCCUUGGGGUUAGUUCAGUUGCACAGUUCCACGUCUGUUAGCAGCCACUGGUUCUCUUACUCCAGCUAUGUUUAGCUUUGUUUGACUAUCUUCCAUGGGAACACAACUGCAUUAGUGUUCCUUUUCUCAGUUCUCCAUUUCAAAAAUUUUUAUUUAUUUAUUUAAUUUCUGAGAGGGGGUCUUGCUCUGUCACCUAGGAUGGAGUGCAGUGGCACAAACACAGCCUCACUGCAGACUCGACCUCCAAGUUCAGCCUCCUGAGUAGUUGGGAUCACAGGCAUGCACCACCAUGCCUGGCUAAUUUUUUUAUUAGUAGUAGAGACAGGGUCUCCCUAUGUUGCCCAGGCUGGCCUUGAACUCCUGAGUUCAAGCAAUCCGCCCGCCUCAGCCUCCCAAAGUGCUUGGAUUAUAGGCGUGAGCCACCGUGCCCCGGUAUCGGUUCUCCAUUUAUAACAACUUGUCACCAAGAACCCGAGACCCAAGCUUGGGUCAAUGGUUGUCCAGCUAGGAUGAGAAUAAUGUGCUGGCUAUCUGGGUACUGUGGACAGCCUGGAAGCCCCAUGUGGCAGCCAACUUACUCAUUUUGCACACUGCACCCAGAGAAGGGUGGCACUGAGUGGAAAGUGAGGCCAAGGUCAUCACAAACAGCAUCAGGCUCUACAAAGAGUGACAGCAACCUGAAGCACAGAGACAGGUCUAACAUGGAUGCAGGAUGUAAGUGACGUUGGACCUAGUCUUAGGUCACAUCUGCAUACAAAAAUCCUCACUACAGGAACUGUCAUUAUUUAAACACAUGAGCAAGGACACAGAUUUUUGAAAUAAGCACUUAUUCUUUUGAAGGGUCUAAAAGGUAGAAUGUAGAGAUGGAAGACAGUAGACCUGAAAUUCCUUCCUGACCACGGCCUUGUACAAAUCUUCUGCCCUGUCUGUCCAGAUGUUUCCUCAUUUUUGACCAGAUGCUAAAGCCUCCAAAUCAGUCAUUCUGAGAUCCAUGCCAAUUCUUAGCCAUGAUUCUAAAAAUAGCCAGAAUAGAAAUAAUAUACAAUCCUCAUAUUUAUGCUUACUUCUUUAAUACAAAAACAGUGUAAUAACAGCAUGAAGGAAAUAAUUUAAUGAUUUUAAUUUUUCAGCCUAAAAUUAUUUUAAACUAAUGGUUUCACCUUGUUCCACUUGAGUAAUCAAAUUCAUAUUUUCCCCCUUGCCAUCUCUCCCCCACCUGCAUCCUGUGAAUCAACAGAAGUUAAAACCCUAACACCAGUGGGAAACAGAAACUAGCCAAGAGCAUGUAAAACAGAAACAAGACAGGCGUGGUGGUGCUGAGGUGGGAAGAUCACUUGAGCCCAGGAGUUCAGGCUGCAGUGAAUAAUGGUUGCACCAUUGCACUCUAGCUUGGGGGACAGCGUGAGACCCUGUCUCUAUAUUAAAUUUUAAAAUAUAAUAAAAGAGAAAGAAAAUGCCUAAUUACAGUUCUUGGUGAAUAAAUGAUGUAAAUGCCCAUAUUUUACUACCUGCUCACGUAUAGCGUUAGUAUUGUAAUCAGAUAGUUUAUGUACCAAACUUGUAAGUUAUGCCAGUUGGGACCAUUUAUCUAACAGGAAGCAGGCCCAGGCAGGUUCCUUUGCAACAAAGGAUGGUUCAAUGUUGCAUACAGUUGAGUUGCCAUGAGAGACAAUUAUGGCCAUCCCCAAAUAAGGAAAACUUGAUUGCACUUAGAUAAAAAUUGCGAUUUUUCAAAUUUUGAGGUCAAAACCUGUAUACUCUACAACUAGAGGUAAGCUUAAGCUAAUUAUGUUCUAUUUGAGUCUUCCCUUCUGCUGACUAAAUCACCAUUUAAAAUAUUUGUAAACCUUGGUUGUAAAGUUGGACACCUAAGAAUUCAAAAUAGCAAUUGUCCCACAAAGCCCCAUCCCUUCCAGUAUUGUGUUCUUUUAGGAAAGUAUUCAAUUAUCUCUCAGCUGAUCCUAAGAUUCCUUCUAUAUCUUGUCCCUUUCAUUUGUUUAGAUAUUUACUAUACACUUUGAGGCUGGGUGCAGCGGCUCAUGCCUGUCAUCCCAGCACUUUGGGAGGCCGAGGUGGGUGGAUCACCGAAGGUCAGGAGUUUGAGACCAGCCUGGCCAACAUGGUGAAACCACGUCUCUACUAAAAAUAUAAAAAUUAGCUGGGUGCGGUGGCGCAUGCCUGUAAUCCCAGCUACUCGGGAGGCUGACACAGGAGAAUCGCUUGAACCUGGGAGGCAGAGGUUGCAGUGAGCAGAGAUUGCACCACUGCACUCCACCCUGGGCGACAGAGUGAGACUCCUUCUCAAAAAUAAAUAAAUAAAUAAAAGGCUGGGCAUGGUGGCUCACACCUGUAAUCCCAGCACUUUGGGAGGCCGAGGCGGAUGGAUCAUGAGGUCAGGAGUUCAAGACUAGCCUGGCCAAGAUGGUGAAACUCCGUCUCUACUAAAAGUAAAAAAAAAAUUAGCUGGGUGCGGUGGCAGGUGCCUGUGAUCCCAGGUACUCAGGAGGCUGAGGCAGGAGAAUCGCUUGAACUCAAAGGGCGGAGGUUGCAGUGAGCCAAGAUCGCGCCACUGCACUCCAGCCUGGGUGACAGAGUGAGACUCCAUUUCAAUAAAUAAAUUAAAAAGAAAAAAAAACAUACAAAAAGAUACUUACUGUACACUUCAGAAAACAGUAUUUUCUAACAUCGGUUUAGCAUUUAUUUCCCUUUAAUUUCUAUUUAUAUUAUUUUCUAAAUGUUCACUCAGGUGUAAAAAAAUAACUUCAACAAUUAAUAGUUUGACAUGAUGUCAGCUAUUUAAGAUACUCAACAUCAUCCUCUGCUUUUCACCACCUUCUUGCAUUUGGGGGUGAAGAGUUAAACUACUUUUUUUUAAUGCUGGAACUCUUUUUGAAUCAUUAUUAAAAUAAGACUGGGGGAAGAGAGGUUAUAUAAAGGAAAUAAAGAGUCUAUAAUGGAAUUUAGGCUUUUGCUGUUACAGCUGAGAAGAACUAGAGCUUCCAAGGAAAGCCUGACCUAAGAAUAAGGCCAAAUCUUUUGCUUCGUAUCAACACAACGCUACCAAAAUCUGGAGUUAUUUUCUGACUUUAUUCUGAAAGCUAACUUUUAGCUUGGCUGGACUGUUUUUUUCUUUUCUUCUCUCAUCUUUCUCUCUCUCUCAUCUCUCUCUCUCUCUCUCUCUCUCUCCUUUUCUUUCUUUUUUAGAGAUGGGCUCUUGCUGUUGUUGCCUGAAGCCCCAAACUCCUGGGCUCAAGGCAUCCUCCUUCCUCAGCCUCCUGAGCAGCUUGGACUUGAGGCCUGUGCUACCACACCUGGCUAACGGGCAGGAAUCUUUCUAAACAGACUGAAUUUAGAGUGCUUAUUGCUCAAGCAGGGAUAAUUUCUACAAGGUCCAGUUCAGGCUGAGAUUUUUAUUUUGUCCCUAAUUUCCUGAAAUCAAAACAAGUGGUUUUAAUCUAGGAUCGCACAGGUAGAAAACCUAGUGGGGUCUCUGGGAACUUUAUACCUGUUUUCUCCUUCCCUGGUCCUUUCUCCAUGCUUUUAUUGUUACCAGGGAGAUGUCCUGGUUUAAUGUAAGUGUCCCUUACAAAACUUUCUAAGAACUUACUCCCAGAAAAUACAAAAAAUGAUGAUAGCCAAUUAGGCAAGAGAGGGGGUAAUUUAGUCUUAUACUUUCUCAGAGGGAAUACAAAUUAAUACAGCCUUCCUGGAGAGGAAUUUGGCAAUGUUUAUCAAAGUUAAAAACUGUGUACUAGGCCGGGUGCAGUGGCUCACGCCUGUAAUCCCAGCACUUUGGGAGGCUGAGGCGGGUCAAUCACUGGAGGUCAGGAGUUCGAGACCAGCCUGGCCAACAUAGUGAAACCCUGUCUCUACUAAAAAUACAAAAAAAAAUUAGCCGGACGUGGUGGCAGGUGCCUGUAGUCCCAGCUACUCAGGAGGCUGAGACAGGAGAAUCACUUGAACCCGGGAGGCGGAGGUUGCAGUGAGCUGAGAUUGCGCCACUGCAUUCCAGCAUGGGUGACAGAGUGAAACUCUGUCUCUAAAUAAAUAAAUAAAACUGUGUACUCCACUUCUGGGAAUUUAUUCAAGGAAAGUCAACUCUUUUCCUAGUUCUAGCCUUCUUUCUGUACAUUAGAUUGAUGGGUCAUUAACUGUUCUUAGUAUGUUUCUGUAUUUUCAUAAUAGACUAUAAUAAACAUAUAUACCUUUGAUAAUAAAAAAUUAAAAAUCAUCAGUAAAUAUAAAAUAUACCCUGUUAGAAACAACUUGCAUUCAGAAGUGCUUAGUGUUAAAUGUGGGGACCACCUGCAACAACCAGUUUUUGGUUUUCUUUUUAAUUCUUGAAAACUCAGUAUACAUUAACUGUAGUUCUUCCAAUGACCUAGGGUUUGGGAAUACAAUUUUAAAAGCCCAUGGCCACUCUUGUAGCUAUUACUUUCAUGGGAUGACCUAAACAGAGUUUCAGACUAUGACAAUGAUUUCCUCUCCUUGUGGCCCAUGUGCUGUUCCUUCACACUUCCACAGACUUCCAUGGGAUAUAUGAGUCAAUACUAAGGUGAUAGCUCUAGUUAUUCCUUCCAAGGACAUCUGGAAUCCGAUUAUCUGAUGAGAUAUUCUAUUGCUCCAUUUUACAGCAGGAGACCUUAUCAAAAUUCUCCUAGAUUACAUGACAGCAGCCCUGGGAACAGAAGGCAAGUUUAAAAUAGUUUUUUUUUUUUCCAAACCACAUUCCUUUCUUGAAUCUAUUUACAGUACUGUUUCAAGAUGUUUUCUGAAGGGUGCACAGGGGCUACAUUGAAAACCUUCUGGUUAUUGUUUGCUAACUGCUGGGAUGGUUUUAAUCAGAGAAGAAGCCAAUAAUUUCAGCUUGGGUGUUAGAAAAGCUCCUGAAAUGUCUCCAAACUGAUUUAGGAGAAACUGCUUAACAGAAGAGGACUUAUUCCUGUCCUGAAACAAACUCCUUAGCAUGGACAUAUGCUGUAAUCACAGACCAAGAUAACCACAUUUUUUGAACAUAUUAUACUCCAAAGGCAUCUUAGAUUUCUAAAUAUUAUCAGUAUCAGAUGACAAAACCUGUUCAACAAGGACCAUAGCCUCAAUAUGCUAGUUGACAGCCUCCGCCGUUAGAAUGUUCUUGGUGUUUGGUAAGUUCUCUAAUAGGACCUACUUUUUAUUACACUAGUUUUUCUUAAAGAAAUUUUUUGAAAGGGGUUUUAUUUUAAUGACUCAGGUAAAAUUUUCUGAGGUAAAAGACCUCACAUCAGUCUCAGCAGACAUCUGCCCCUUCCCAUGAUCCUGACUUGAGGCAAGUGAAGGGAGUCCCUUUGUUGUGAGGCCAAUUUAGUUCUAGGUUCCAGAAAAGCCUGAGUCUCUCAGUAGUUCAGAUCAAACCAGAUGCCCCAGAUUUAAGCAGAACUAAUCCAAAUGCCCAAAUCAGUUUCAGAAAGAGCUCAGGUUUUAACUAGGGUCAGGUACAUCUUUUCUAGGUUAGGUAGGUGCUCCUAUGCCUCAGCUAAGUACAUAGCACUUUGGUCAGCCCUAUAUUUGCAUGAUAAAAGCUUUUUUUUCUACUUUAAAAAUAAUUCCUACAUGAUUUAUCAUGUAUAAAUUCUUAAAACCCCACCCAGGACAAACCACUAUAUCAAGGAUUUCCAUUGCUGAUCUCUCUCACCCUAAUCCUAUUGAAUCCAAGUCUCUGGGGAUAGAGCCCUGGAAGCCUACUUUUUUUUUUUUUUUUUUUUUUUAAAUGUAAAUGCUUUUCUCACGCCUGUAAUCCCAGCACUUUGGGCUUUGGGAAGCCAGGGUGGGAGGAUCACUUGAGCCCAGGAUUUCCAGACCAGCCUGGGCAACAUGGUGAAACCCCAUCUCUACAAAAAAUACAAAAAUUACCUGAGUGUGGUGGCAUGCACCUGUAGUCCCAGCUACUUGAGAGGCUGAGGUGGGAGGCUCGCUUGAGUCCAGGAGCUUGAGGCUGCAGUGAGCCAUGACUGCACCACUGCACUCCAGCCUGGGCAACAGAGCAACACUCCGAAUUUAAUAAUAACAACAAAAAAGUGAAUGCUUUUACAAGUACCCCUUAU
rnacentral:lncRNA from 10 species